AUUCAGAUGACGAGUCCCAAAUAGGACAAACGCGCGUCCUGGAU
rnacentral:hammerhead_ribozyme from 1 species